rnacentral:rRNA from 1 species
AGUGAACGCUGGCGGUAGGCCUAACACAUGCAAGUCGAACGGCAGCACAGGGGAGCUUGCUCCCUGGGUGGCGAGUGGCGGACGGGUGAGGAAUACAUCGGAAUCUACUCUGUCGUGGGGGAUAACGUAGGGAAACUUACGCUAAUACCGCAUACGACCUACGGGUGAAAGUGGGGGACCGCAAGGCCUCACGCGAUUGAAUGAGCCGAUGUCGGAUUAGCUAGUUGGCGGGGUAAAGGCCCACCAAGGCGACGAUCCGUAGCUGGUCUGAGAGGAUGAUCAGCCACAAUGGAACUCAGACACGGUCCAGACUCCUACGGGAGGCAGCAGUGGGGAAUAUUGGACAAUGGGCGCAAGCCUGAUCCAGCCAUACCGCGUGGGUGAAGAAGGCCUUCGGGUUGUAAAGCCCUUUUGUUGGGAAAGAAAUCCUGUUGGUUAAUACCCGGCAGGGAUGACGGUACCCAAAGAAUAAGCACCGGCUAACUUCGUGCCAGCAGCCGCCGUAA